rnacentral:rRNA from 1 species
AAACGAUGAGUGCUAAGUGUUAGAGGGUUUCCGCCCUUUAGUGCUGAAGUUAACGCAUUAAGCACUCCGCCUGGGGAGUACGGCCGCAAGGCUGAAACUCAAAGGAAUUGACGGGGGCCCGCACAAGCGGUGGAGCAUGUGGUUUAAUUCGAAGCAACGCGAAGAACCUUACCAGGUCUUGACAUCCUCUGAAAACCCUAGAGAUAGGGCUUCUCCUUCGGGAGCAGAGUGACAGGUGGUGCAUGGUUGUCGUCAGCUCGUGUCGUGAGAUGUUGGGUUAAGUCCCGCAACGAGCGCAACCCUUGAUCUUAGUUGCCAUCAUUAAGUUGGGCACUCUAAGGUGACUGCCGGUGACAAACCGGAGGAAGGUGGGGAUGACGUCAAAUCAUCAUGCCCCUUAUGACCUGGGCUACACACGUGCUACAAUGGACGGUACAAAGAGCUGCAAGACCGCGAGGUGGAGCUAAUCUCAUAAAACCGUUCUCAGUUCGGAUUGUAGGCUGCAACUCGCCUACAUGAAGCUGGAAUCGCUAGUAAUCGCG